GGGCGCUUGGUCUAGGGGUAUGAUACUCGCUUCGCAUCAUUACUGUGACAGAAUUGUGAGUGGUCGUGGGUUCAAUUCCCACAGCGUCCA